UGUCUCCUCCACCCUCCUCCUUUGGUGGAUUAGCCCGAAGCCGCAAGGCUUCGGGCUUUUUUU
rfam:Bordetella sp. SCN 67-23 ABS43_C0078, whole genome shotgun sequence.